rnacentral:rRNA from 1 species
UACGGGGGGGGCAAGCGUUGUUCGGAAUUACUGGGCGUAAAGGGCUCGUAGGCGGCCAACUAAGUCGGAUGUGAAAUCCCCAGGCUCAACUUGGGAACUGCAUCCGAUACUGGAUGGCUUGAAUCCGGGAGAGGGAUGCGGAAUUCCAGGUGUAGCGGUGAAAUGCGUAGAUAUCUGGAGGAACACCGGUGGCGAAGGCGGCAUCCUGGACCGAUACUGACGCUGAGGAGCGAAAGCCAGGGGAGCAAACGGG